rnacentral:rRNA from 1 species
CCUACGGGAGGCAGCAGUGGGGAAUAUUGCACAAUGGGGGAAACCCUGAUGCAGCGACGCCGCGUGAAGGAUGAAGGUUUUCGGAUCGUAAACUUCUUUGAUCGGGGACGAAAAAUGACGGUACCCGAAAAACAAGCCACGGCUAACUACGUGCCAGCAGCCGCGGUAAUACGUAGGUGGCAAGCGUUGUCCGGAUUUACUGGGUGUAAAGGGCGUGUAGGCGGGAAUGCAAGUCAGAUGUGAAAUCCUGUGGCUUAACCACAGAUGUGCAUCUGAAACUGUAUUUCUUGAGUACUGGAGAGGAAAGCGGAAUUCCUAGUGUAGCGGUGAAAUGCGUAGAUAUUAGGAGGAACACCGGUGGCGAAGGCGGCUUUCUGGACAGUAACUGACGCUGAGACGCGAAAGCGUGGGUAGCAAACAGGAUUAGAUACCCCGGUAGUC